rnacentral:rRNA from 1 species
GACGAACGCUGGCGGCGUGCUUAACACAUGCAAGUCGAACGGAAAGGCCCUGCUUUUGUGGGGUGCUCGAGUGGCGAACGGGUGAGUAACACGUGAGUAACCUGCCCUUGACUUUGGGAUAACUUCAGGAAACUGGGGCUAAUACCGGAUAGGAGCUCCUGCUGCAUGGUGGGGGUUGGAAAGUUUCGGCGGUUGGGGAUGGACUCGCGGCUUAUCAGCUUGUUGGUGGGGUAGUGGCUUACCAAGGCUUUGACGGGUAGCCGGCCUGAGAGGGUGACCGGCAACAUUGGGACUGAGAUACGGCACAGACUCCUACGGGAGGCAGAAGUGGGGAAUAUUGCACAAUGGGCGGAAGCCUGAUGCAGCAACGCCGCGUGCGGGAUGACGGCCUUCGGGUUGUAAACCGCUUUCGCCUGUGACGAAGCGUGAGUGACGGUAAUGGGUAAAGAAGCACCGGCUAACUACGUG